AUGCACGAGGACGUGAUGAAGAGCGUGCUGCCGGAGGUGGAGGCGCUGCUCCAGCAGACGCGCGUGCUGCUCUACCAGGGCAUCCGCGACCUCCGGGACGGCGUCGUGUCCCAGGAGGCGUGGAUGAAGGAGCUAAAGUGGGGCGGCCUGCGCGCGUUCCUGGACGCCGAGCGCGCCGUGUGGCGGACCGGCGAAGGGGACGGGCAGGAGCUCGCCGGGUACGUGCAGCGGUCGGGGGCGCUGACGCAUGUGGUGGUGUACGGCGCUGGGCACCUCGUGCCGGCGGACAACGGGCGCGCGACACAGGAGAUGAUUGAGGGUUGGGUCACGCAGACGGGUGUGUUCGGCGGCGGCAUGAGGUAG
rnacentral:rRNA from 1 species